CGCUGGCGGCGUGCUUAACACAUGCAAGUCGAACGGAAAGGCCCUGCUUUUGUGGGGUGCUCGAGUGGCGAACGGGUGAGUAACACGUGAGUAACCUGCCCUUGACUUUGGGAUAACUUCAGGGAACUGGGGCUAAUACCGGAUAGGAGCUCCUGCUGCAUGGUGGGGGUUGGAAAGUUUCGGCGGUUGGGGAUGGACUCGCGGCUUAUCAGCUUGUUGGUGGGGUAGUGGCUUACCAAGGCUUUGACGGGUAGCCGGCCUGAGAGGGUGACCGGCCACAUUGGGACUGAGAUACGGCCCAGACUCCUACGGGAGGCAGCAGUGGGGAAUAUUGCACAAUGGGCGGAAGCCUGAUGCAGCAACGCCGCGUGCGGGAUGACGGCCUUCGGGUUGUAAACCGCUUUCGCCUGUGACGAAGCGUGAGUGACGGUAAUGGGUAAAGAAGCACCGGCUAACUACGUGCCAGCAGCCGCGGUGAUACGUAGGGUGCGAGCGUUGUCCGGAUUUAUUGGGCGUAAAGGGCUCGUAGGUGGUUGAUCGCGUCGGAAGUGUAAUCUUGGGGCUUAACCCUGAGCGUGCUUUCGAUACGGGUUGACUUGAGGAAGGUAGGGGAGAAUGGAAUUCCUGGUGGAGCGGUGGAAUGCGCAGAUAUCAGGAGGAACACCAGUGGCGAAGGCGGUUCUCUGGGCCUUUCCUGACGCUGAGGAGCGAAAGCGUGGGGAGCGAACAGGCUUAGAUACCCUGGUAGUCCACGCUGUAAACGGUGGGUACUAGGUGUGGGGUCCAUUCCACGGGUUCCGUGCCGUAGCUAACGCUUUAAGUACCCCGCCUGGGGAGUACGGCCGCAAGGCUAAAACUCAAAGGAAUUGACGGGGCCCCGCACAAGCGGCGGAGCAUGCGGAUUAAUUCGAUGCAACGCGUAGAACCUUACCUGGGUUUGACAUGGAUCGGGAGUGCUCAGAGAUGGGUGUGCCUCUUUUGGGGUCGGUUCACAGGUGGUGCAUGGCUGUCGUCAGCUCGUGUCGUGAGAUGUUGGGUUAAGUCCCGCAACGAGCGCAACCCUUGUUCACUGUUGCCAGCACGUUAUGGUGGGGACUCAGUGGAGACCGCCGGGGUCAACUCGGAGGAAGGUGGGGAUGACGUCAAGUCAUCAUGCCCCUUAUGUCCAGGGCUUCACGCAUGCUACAAUGGCUGGUACAGAGAGUGGCGAGCCUGUGAGGGUGAGCGAAUCUCGGAAAGCCGGUCUCAGUUCGGAUUGGGGUCUGCAACUCGACCUCAUGAAGUCGGAGUCGCUAGUAAUCGCAGAUCAGCAAUGCUGCGGUGAAUACGUUCCCGGGGCUUGUACACACCGCCCGUCAAGUCAUGAAAGUUGGUAACACCCGAAGCCGGUGGCCUAACCGUUGUGGGGGAGCCGUCGAAGGUGGGACUGGUGAUUAG
rnacentral:rRNA from 1 species